GAGUCAGGGCUAGGGGCACCAGGACUUGGGCGUGCAGGACGCCAGGACUUGGGCGUGCGGGACGCCAGAGCUGGGUCAGAGCUCGAGCCAGCGGCGCCCGGAGAGACUCGGAGAUGCAGGCGGCUCGGAUGGCCCCGAGCUUGGGGCGGCAGCUGCUGAGGCUCGGGGUCGGAAGGUCUGUGUGUGACAAGUGGGACGGUGGGCAGCGGCCCUGGGCACCGGGCCAGGACUGAACUCCCACUCCCCACAGCUCGCGGCUCACGGCGCUCCUGGGGCAGCCCCGGCCCGGCCCUGCCCGGCGGCCCUAUGCCGGAGGUGCCGCUCAGCUGGCUCUGGACAAGUCAGAUUCCCACCCCUCUGACGCUCUGACCAGGAAAAAACCGGCCAAGGCGGUAGGUAGCCCCGAGGCCAGGUGGACCUUAGCCAGACCCAACCAGAGCCCUGAAAUUCGCCUCUCUCUGCCCAGGAAUCUAAGUCCUUUGCUGUGGGAAUGUUCAAAGGCCAGCUCACCACAGAUCAGGUGUUCCCAUACCCGUCCGGUAAGGGAAGGGAUAAUCAGAGCUGGGUGGGGCCAGGGUGGUUUCCCCUGCCAGCCUGGCCUGACCAGCCUGUCCCCCACCCUCUGCAGUGCUCAACGAAGAGC
rnacentral:sRNA from 1 species